rnacentral:rRNA from 1 species
UACAGGGGGUGCAAACGUUGCUCGGAAUCAUUGGGCGUAAAGCGCACGUAGGCGGUUCGUUAUGUCGGAUGUGAAAGCCCUUGGCUUAACCGAGGAAGUGCAUCCGAAACUGGCGAGCUAGAGUACUAAAGAGGAUCGCGGAAUUCCCGGUGUAGAGGUGAAAUUCGUAGAUAUCCGAAAGAACACCGGUGGCGAAGGCGGCCUGCUGGGCAGUGGCUGACGCUGAGGCGCGACAGCGUGGGGA